GGUUAAGCGACUAAGCGUACACGGUGGAUGCCCUGGCAGUCAGAGGCGAUGAAGGACGUGCUAAUCUGCGAAAAGCGUCGGUAAGGUGAUAUGAACCGUUAUAACCGGCGAUGUCCGAAUGGGGAAACCCAGUGCAAUUCGUUGCACUAUCGUUAACUGAAUACAUAGGUUAACGAGGCGAACCGGGGGAACUGAAACAUCUAAGUACCCCGAGGAAAAGAAAUCAACCGAGAUUCCCCCAGUAGCGGCGAGCGAACGGGGAGCAGCCCAGAGUCUGAAUCAGCUUGUGUGUUAGUGGAACGGUCUGGAAAGUCCGACGGUACAGGGUGAUAGUCCCGUACACCAAAAUGCACAGGCUGUGAACUCGAAGAGUAGGGCGGGACACGUGGUAUCCUGUCUGAAUAUGGGGGGACCAUCCUCCAAGGCUAAAUACUCCUGACUGACCGAUAGUGAACCAGUACCGUGAGGGAAAGGCGAAAAGAACCCCGGCGAGGGGAGUGAAAAAGAACCUGAAACCGUGUACGUACAAGCAGUGGGAGCACCUUCGGGUGUGACUGCGUACCUUUUGUAUAAUGGGUCAGCGACUUAUAUUCUGUAGCAAGGUUAACC
rnacentral:rRNA from 1 species